rnacentral:rRNA from 1 species
GACGAACGCUGGCGGCGUGCCUAAUACAUGCAAGUCGAACGCAUUUUCUUUCACCGUAGCUUGCUACACCGAAAGAAAAUGAGUGGCGAACGGGUGAGUAACACGUGGGUAACCUGCCCAUCAGCGGGGGAUAACACUUGGAAACAGGUGCUAAUACCGCAUAAUUCCAUUUACCGCAUGGUAGAUGGAUGAAAGGCGCUUUUGCGUCACUGAUGGAUGGACCCGCGGUGCAUUAGCUAGUGGGUGGGGUAACGGCCUACCAAGGCUGCGAUGCAUAGCCGCCCUGAGAGGGUGGUCGGCCACCCUGGGACUGAGAACCGGCCCAGACUCCUACGGGAGGCAGCAGUAGGGAAUCUUCGGCAAUGGACACAAGUCUGACCGAGCAACGCCGCGUGAGUGAAGAAGGUUUUCGGAUCGUAAAACUCUGUUGUUAGAGAAGAACAAGGAUGAGAGUGGAAAGUUCAUCCCUUGACGGUAUCUAACUAGAAAGCCACGGCUAACUACGUG